AGUCCUUUAACACAGACUGUUUAUACAAGCCUGCCAUUUUAAGCUACAGUUGUGAUAAAGCUGCGGCUGUCAGAUGGCAGCUCCAUUGAACUAUUUUACACAUCAGUGUACUUAUUUAAACACUUCAUUUGUUUGUUAUCAUCAGUAUAAGGACAAAAUACAAUAAACCUUGACGAUUAGCAUUUGUGAAACAUUAUCUUCUAACUGGAGAAAUGAUAUAAAAAUUCACCUCAAGAGUGAACUGAGUUUCGAGUUUAGAUCGAUUAAAAAACGGAAUUAAAUAGAUUACACCUUCAAACUAAGUGAGAAGUUAUUAACUUUCCUAUUGCUCUGUUUCAGGUCAUUUUAAGAUAAAUGUAGGCCUAUGCUGAUUUAUAUCCUACUACCAUAAAGAUGAAAUGACUCACUACAAAAACUAAACCAAAAACUCUGCAUGACACAACUCCUCAAUACCAACCAGGAAAACAGCCAGUAUGCGUAUGCGAGCAUUGGGAGGCUGGAAACACGGUCCUGGGCCUGGAUUGAAUAAGCACCAUGGCUAUGCUAGAUAUCUGGGAUAUCCACCAAGAGCGCUGAUUAAAGUUAGGAUAGAAACAGUGCUUGUUGCUACCGCCUACCAAGCCUUUCUCAAUGGAAUUUUACAUUGUUCCAGGUCCAGUCACUCAUAUCGCGACUUGUAAUAGUCUUUGUAAUCACUUUAACUAGACCAUAUCAGUCUCUAACACAGGCUGCAGCUGUAACUAGGCCCGGGCCUACAUUACAUGUGUGAGCAUAUGCCAGGGAAUGCUUGUUCAAGAUAUGUCAGGUCAUUGGAUUCGUUCGUUGCGUUUCCAACUUAAACACAGCAAUUCCUAAAGCCAUAACAUAUGUAAUAUAUUGUCAUUAUGUAGUAAUUGUGAAUACAGCAAACUCCUCUAAUUCAACUGGCCUAGGUUGUGUUUACCUUGUCUGCUACAGUUAAGCUGAAGAGCUAAUGAACUAGACUAGGGACCCUCCUGAGAAAGACUGAAGCUCUGAACUCAUUCAACCCCCUUUAAAACGCCUACGCUAAUCCCAAUAAAACAUAGCCAUUAUAAAUAUACAAUUCAUAAAUUGCUUUGUGUGAAAUAUGCAACCCUCUAGCCCCAUCCAUUUAAACUCAAAAGUCUAAUGUGUUGGCCUAUCGACAAGCUGGCUGGUUCUUCUUUCGCCUCUGUUUGUUGUUCCGAAUGAUCCAGCCACAGUUCUGCUGGUACCCAACUAAUCCAAGCUGUGAACCCACUCCUCAGCCGGUCCACAAGCCAGUAAACGCUACGGUUCAAUCUCAAAAAAGUUGGAACAGACAUAAGAGAGAGGGAGAAAAAGAGAGAGAGAUAGGGAGGGAGGGAGAACGAGAAAAAGGCAGCAAGAAAAGUGAGGGACUUUUAGGGGCAGCUGUGUUUUAUUAACCCAGUCAUAAUGCCCCUAAAAAUCCUUAUUGCUCUUGCAAUGGUCAACAGAAUCUCCUAUAAGAACAAGUCUCUAUGUUAUGAGCGACGCACUCAUACGGACAUAUUACAAGCUCUAUGAUGGCUCCCUGUGGCUCAGUUGGUAGAGCAUGGUGUUUGCAAUGCCAGGGUUGUGGGUUCGAUUCCCACGGGGGGCCAGUACAGAGAAAAAAACGAAAAAUGUAUGAGAUGAAAUGUAUGUAUGUAUGCAUUCACUACUGUAAGUUGCUCUGGGUAAGAGCAUCUGCUAAAUGACUAAAAUGUAAAAAAAAAUGUAAAUGUAAAUCCAUUGGUCACAUUGUCAAGUCCCUCAAAGAUGUUCAGACAGUCUUGGAACAAGUUGGAGGGCAUUGAAAAUUGAAUAGAAAAUGCUUAUUUGUUAUUCCCAACUGAUGCAUUUCGACAUUACGGCCGUCGUCAAUGAAUUAGUCAAACAAAUCUCGGUAGAUGCAACAGACGUUCUUAUCCAAAGUUCGCGGCUCGUUCAAGGUGCUACGUACAGCAUCACGAUACUUUAGAUGAGUGGGAUGAUUCAAGAUCACAGCACACCUUGCCCAGACAGAACUAUAGACAUCUUCAUCCUCACUAAUGAUAGCUAAGUACCCUGCAGGCUGGCCUUAGGAUGACAUUAUCUCCCCAGUCUCCAUUGUUUAACAUGCAGACAAGUGAGCUAUAUGUCCUUCAGUUUCUUGACAUUGCGCCAAGGGCCAGACAGAGAGACGGGCGGAGGAUUCUGAUCUGAUCCGGGUUGGGGUGUGGUGGAGUUGGAGAACUGUCUGAGAGGGGGAGGCUGGCUGGAGGAGACGGAGAGGAGUACUCUUCCGUGGGGGUGAGUCAUCGCCUUCGGAGGCUAUUCGGUGAGUUUCAUCUGGGAGGAUCGUGAAUCUUCGGUUGGUCGGUGAAUCCGCUGUCCUCCUCGCCACAGCCAGAGAGGGGCUGGGAAGGAAAGUGUGGGGGCCUGGCUGGGCUGAUGACUCAGGGCCACGCACCGCACAAGGAGUGAGGGAGGAGGGGGGAGGGAGGGAGGAAUUACUCAGAGCAUGUGGAAUCUCAUACAGCUAUCACAGGACAGACACUGUGCUUCUACUAGGCUCCGAGGCACUGUAGAAGUCUGUCCUUAGACACAGCAGUAAUGGCAGUGGUAAGACGGCUAAGGGCCAUUGGUUUCCAUUGAAGAGGAACAGAACAGAGAAGUAUAUUCUUGUCCUCGCACUUUGAAGCAAAGUCAUGCCCCCCUUCUUAUUGAAUGAAUUACGUCUUUCUAUCACAGCAAGUCGGUGCAGGUUUGACACUCUGCAACUCCAGCAAAGUAAUUAAGCAUUGCAUGCUGUCAAAAUAUUCCAUUACAAAAGUCUUGAAGAUUUGGGAAGUGUCUCCGGUGACUAUCUAGAUGGGAGGGGGAGGUGAGUUGGGCCGUUUAUUGUCCAGUGAUGAUGCUCCUCCUCCAUCUCUGUCAUUGGAGAAAUCCUUUCGAAUAGCCAAGCUUCAUUGAGUGAUGAUGACAAACAUUUCCGGAAAGAGAAAGUGAGUGGUGUGAGAACUACCUGUAUGACAUGCACCAUGGACUCUCUAGCGUGAGUCAUCAGGCCUAAAGACGCCGAACUGUGAGUGGGGAUUCAGGUGUUGAUAAAUGGCCAACGGUGGAGGGCUGGUCGGGAGAUAGGUGGGGGCUGGUGUGUGUUGGAUAUGUGUAUUGUGUGCAUAUAUUGUCGUGUGCAUGUAUUGUGUGAUGUGAGUGUGGAGGGGGGUUAUGGUGUGUGUGUGUGUGUGUGUGUGUGUGUGUGUGUGUGUGUGUGUGUGGGGGUUGAUGUUGUGUGAUGCAUGACUCAACAGGAGAGAAGGCCACACCCAUGGGACGAGCCCAGGCUCCCUUCAGCGGCGGGAUGGGCCUAGAUCUCACUGACUAUGGGUGCCAUGAUUAAGGUGUCUUGGCCUAACGGAUGGAGCUCAAACACUUGGCCUCAUGGUGAACAAACACACCGACACAAAGGCAGAGAGGCCGGGCAAGAAAGUGGAGCACACCUUCACCUUCCGCCGUAUCCCCAUGUAUAAUCAAACUCUUCCAACCUGACUUCAGCCAACCGGCUACUGAGAGUCUGAGACCUGGCCCCGUAUUCACAAAGCAUCUCAGAGUAGCAGUGCUGAUCUUGGAUCAGGUCCCGCCCUGUCCAUACAAUCAUAUUCAUUAUGAUCUAAAAGGCAAAAAACUGAACCUAGAUCUGCACUCCUACUCUGAGACACUUUAUGAUAGGGACAACCCAGAGUAAACAGAACAACUUAGCCAUGGCUUAACCAUGUGUUGCAUCUCCAUUAUGGUAAUUUCCUCCAGUAAUUACUAAUCAUUAAAUGUGUCACUCCCAAUCACCUGGAUAGUGUUUAUAAUACAGCCUGCCUUGGUAAAUUCCCAUCAUUCUGAAAUAGCCUGAUUGUGUUUAAUUGGAGUGUUCACUAAACAGUCCACCCACCAGCAUCAACAAAUCCAAUGUAUUUUAACAGCAGGCAACAAUUUAAUCCACCUCAAUAUAUCGCCAUUGUAAAUAACCAAGACGCAGAGCACAAUGUUGCACAAUCAGCCUGAGUUUAGGAGGAGUUGAAAGGUCAGGUAAACAGUUGUCCCAGGCUUUCCCUGCCUUUUAAUCAGGACUCCUGUCCAUUUUUAUCUUGGUUAGAUCUCUUGACUUAUGGCUGUGUACACUAAUGCUGCACUUCAUGGCUUCUUAACCCACUGUUUGGUUUGCUUCAUAUGGACUGGAAUGUCAAGUUGCUAUUUGGCAUGGAGGUUUGUGCGCUGAGUCGCCGACAAAGCAUGGAAUGAAUCCUUUGUAGGCUAAUGGGCGGGCCAACCUUUUCCAGUGUUUGUCAUGGUGAGUUUGUUUGCGUAUAUGCGUACCUCAUAUUCAUAUUCAGUGCUAACUUCAGUGCUUGUGUGUUUCCAUUCUGUGAAUAUAGAUCCUCAAAGCUCAAAGUGGUCCUGUCUCAGAGAAAACUGCCUCAUUCAGCACAAAUAUUAUGGAAGACCAUUUAGAUACUUCUCCACCCUCCUUGUCCUCGCCAACCAGCCAUGGCGGAGGUGCUGACAGAUUUGUAGUUGUUUUCUGGCAAUUUGGGGUCAACGAUGCAUGUUAGCAAACCUUUUGCAUUGGAAAACCAGGAGGCCCCCAACGUGCAUUCUGCAAUGUACACAGCACUCCGUUGGGUGAUUGGCAUGUGUCUGAUGAUGCUUUAGAUAUGGUGGUGGCCGUCGAAUGAAGCGUUCACAGUAAACUAAUGUUGGCAGGGGUCUGUAUUGGCAAGAAUGCACAAAAUCCCUGUCAUUCGGUAACUAAUAGACCACUUUAACGCUAAAACAGACUUCGCAGAGUAAGCCACAGAUGCUCAAACGUUCAAAUCUCUGCACAGCACGUUGGAAAGGACUAAGGGGAGACAACCUUGCUACCUCAAAUGGCCUCCUGCAGUCUUCAAGGACUGAGUGGGGCCGGUGAACUUAAGGAGAUUUUCAUGGUUUCUGAAGUAUCUUUGGGUUUUCUCAGGCGGUCUCAACAGCACAGCAUGAAGGUUACAGCUUGAAGACCCACAGUCUAGUCCUCCUUGUUCAGGCUGGCUCAGUUGAUAGGACGACAUGACCAUAAGGGGAAAUCCAUCUUCCUCAAAACCCCUCUAAAAUUAGUCUUCCGCCCCUAUCAAAACUGUCAAUGGAGCUCCUUCAAAUCACAGAGAAAACAUGAUUGUUACUCUUUGGUCUUUAUGUUGGCAAACCCCCUUCAUCUGGAAGGAGAAGCAAAAUACAUUUAUAGUCCGUUUCAGGGGGAAAAUGUGUGUGUAGCACAACUGUUCUACAGGGCCGAACAAAGAGAUGUUUUAUGUUGGCACUCGAUUGAUGUCUGUGGAUCACAAUGUGACAAGGCAGACCUCAGAAGACCCUUGCCCAGCAGCUAGUGAUGUGCCUUCUUAUUCUUGGAGCCACUCUCUCAUUCCAGGACAUAGAAACCCUUGGCCUGGCCAUCCAUAGCCGCCCAACUCCAAAACCAAUAGUGCUGCCCAUGUGUAAGCAAAGAGGGCAAGUGUUUUUUUCACGACACCUAAAUGUCUUUUUCUUUUGUGGACAGCAUCUUUCAUUGCCCAUUUAGCUUUUUGUUAUUCCACAAGUCUUUGUCUUGGCCAGUUCGUGUGCACAUAGCUCUGCGGGAUCUGAGGCGUCACACACUGUGGGGAUGUUAUUUUGGUCAUGUGACGUCUAGAGUUGACACUGGCAUCGAUCCCCCAGUAGGAUCUUUUGACUUCCUUGACUUCCCUUUUAGUUUGUAGUGAAGUAAAGUGGCUUUACAGCGCUUCUACAUCGAAACCCUGUUUGGAACGCUUUCUUUAGAUCAGUGGUUAUCAACAGGUCGAUCUCCAAGGCAUUCCUAGUCGAUCGCCAAAUAUUCUGUGAAAAACCCACCAAUAAGCCUUGCGUUCCUAUUUUUCAUGUGCACUAUAGGCCUACCAAUCAGAGGACUGGCUUCAGUAACAUAGCAGGCAUAAAAGAAAGCUACAGCAAAUGGGGGACAGAGGGUAGUGCGCACGGUCUAGUACGUCACUGGGGACAAGCUUCCUGCCAUCCAGGACCUAUAUACCAGGAGGUGUCAGAGGGUAGUACGCACAGCCCAGUACAUCCCUGGGGCCAAGCUUCCUGCCAUCCAGGACCUAUAUAACAGGAGGUGUCAGAGGGUAGUGCGCACGGCCUAGUACAUCCCUGGGGCCAAGCUUCCUGCCAUCCAGGACCUAUAUACCAGGCGGUGUCAGAGGGUAGUGCGCACGGCCUAGUACAUCCCUGGGGCCAAGCUUCCUGCCAUCCAGGACCUAUAUACCAGGCGGUGUCAGAGGAAGGCCCAAAAAAUUGUCAAAGACUCCAUUCACCCAAGUCAUAGCCUAGGACCAAAAGGCUCCUUAACAGCUUCUACCUCCAAGCCAUAAGACUGCUGAACAAUGAAUCUAAUUGCCACCGGGACUAUACAUUGACCCCCCCCCCCCCCUUUUUUUUUUACACUGCUGCUACUCGCUGUUUAUUAUCUAUACAUAGUCACUUUACAAAUUACCUCAACUAACCUGUACCCCCGCAUAUUGACAAGGUACCGGUGUCCCCUGUAUAUAGCCUCUCUGAUGUGCAAUUUUCUUGUUACUUUUUGAUUUUAAUAUUUUUUUUAACUUUAGUUUGUUUAGUACAUAUUUUCUUAACUCUAUUUCUUGAACUGCAUUGUUGCUUGUAAGUAAGAAUUUCACUGUAAGGUUGUUGUAUUCGGCGCGUGUGACAAAUAACAUUUGAUUUGAAGACUGUGUCCCUUUUUGGUCGGAGUCAGCGGAGGCCCCUCAGUCUGCUGCUCUCUCCCUCCGCUGAGACUGACCAUCAGAUGCCUAGUAAAAUAAGAAAAAGUGAAUUAUUUAAAUGUAUGCUCAUUCAGCUGUGCCUCACAAUAAUACAACAACUGGUCUAUUAAUGGUGUGAUCAUAUAGCCUACCUCAAAUGUUGAAAUAUAAUUGUCAAAAAUGGUCUGAGAAGCAAAGCCAAUAUGCAGUGAUAAUAUAUUGUGCUUAUAGCCUACUGCACAAACCUCAUUACUAGAGUACCGCUUUUUACAGGUUAAUGUUGCCUAGGCUUAUGUUUUUAAAUCAUGUAAAAACGGUAGAUCUCGGCUUGCAUUUUGACUCAGAAAAGGUAUGUGACCACUGCUUUAGAUUAUUCCGGGUGGUUCCUGCCUUCUUCGUCUUUUAUUAUUUAUCUUCAUCUUCUUCAUUGUCUUCAUCUUCUUCUCAAAAAAUAGGUUUUAUUCAGUAGCCAACUGUUGCAUCAAUGCAUGCCACCAUUUCUAGAACAUGGCUGUAGAUUUCUUCUGAAGUCGGGUAAUAUUUAUGAUGUAACACACCACACAACUGCAGUCUUUUGAAACUUUAGCAGCUUCCGCCACGGCCAUUUUAGAUAUAUAAAGUUAAUAAAGAAGUUGUAUUGAGUAAACAGUCGUCUCUGUUCCCAGAGCGAGAGAGAAGAAAAUUCAUGUAGUGCAGUAAAUUGAACUCAACUUUGCCUCGUUCAUGAACCCCCCCCCCCUAAGAAGAACCUGUUCCAACAAGCGAAACACUUUCCAGCUAAGCUAACACAAAGGCCUUUUAACAUAACAUAAGAUAAUUGGUUUUCAAUUAUGAGAUACCAAUAAAAACCAGGUUAACGCCUCUGUCAGAGGCUGAGAAACGCUUGAAAAGUGUUGGACAUAACCAUAUAAAGGUCUUUUCUCUAAAUACUUUGAUACAGGGCCUUCAGAAAGUAUUCACACACCUUGACUUAUUCCACAUUUUGUUGUGUUACAGCCUGAAUUUAAAAUGGAUUACAUUGAGAUUUUGUGUCACUGGCUUACACACAAUACCUCAUAAUGUCAAAGAAUUUUUACAGAUUUUUACAAAUUAAUAAAAAAUGAAAAGCUGAAAUGUCUUUAGUCAAUAAGUAUUCAACUUCUUUUUUAUGGCAAGCCUAAAUAUGUUCAGGAGUAAAAAUGUGCCUAACAAGUCACAUAAUAAUUUGUAUGGACUCACUCUGUGUGCAAUAAGUGUUAAAACAUUAUUUUUUAUGACUACCUCAUCUCUGUACCCCACACAUACAAUUAUCUGUAAGGUCCCUCAGUCGAGCAAUGAAUUUCAAACACACAGAUCAGGGAGGUUUUCUAAUGCCUCACAAAGGCCACCUAAAAAGCAUACAUUGAAUAUCCCUUUGAGCAUGGUGAAAUUAUUAAUUACACUUUGGAUGGUGUAUCAAUACACCCAGUCACUACAAAGAUACACAGGCGUCCUUCAUAACACAGUUUCUGGAGAAGAAGGAAAAUGCUCAGGGAUUUCACCAUGAGGCCAAUGGUGACAUUAAAACAGUUAGAGAGUUGGCUGUGAUAGGAGAAAACUGAGGAUGGAUCAACAACAUUGUAGUUACUCCACAAUACUAACCUGAAUGAAAAGAGCGAAAAGAAGGAAGCCUGUACAGAACAAAAAUAUUCCAAAACAUGCAUCCUGUUUGUAAUAAUGCACUAAAGUAAAACUUCAAAACAUGUGGCAAAGAAAUUAUCUUUAUGUCCUGAAUACAAAGUGUUAUGUUUGGGGUAAAUACAACAUCACUGAGUACCACUCUUCAUAUUUUCAAGCAUGGUGGCUGCAUCAUGUUAUGAAUAUGAUUGUCAUCAGCAAGGACUAGGGAGUUUCUUCAGGAUAAAAAUAAACAGAAUAGAGAUAAGCACAGGCAAAAUUCUAGUAGAAAACUUGGUUCAGUCUGCUUUCCAAAAGACACUGGGAGACAAAUUCACCUUUCAGCAGGACAAUAACCUAAAACAAGGCCAAAUAUACACUGGAGUUUCUUACCAAGACGACAUUGAAUGUUCCUGAGUGGCCUAGUUAAAUUUUUUACUUACUUUUUUUAUUUUACCUUUAUUUAACUAGGCAAGUCAGUUAAUAACUUAAAUCUGCUUGAGAAUCUAUAGCAAGACUUGAAAAUGGCUGUCUAGCAAUGAUCAACAACCAACUUGACAGAACUUGAAGAAUUUUUAAAUAAUAAUGUGCAAAUAUUAUACAAUCCAGGUGUGCAAAACUCUUAAGAGACUUACACAAAAAUACUUACCACUGUAAUUGCUGCGAACGGCAAUUCUAACAUGUAUUGACUCAGGGAUGUGAAUACUUAUGGAAAUGAGAUAUUUCAUUAUUUCAUUUUCAGUACAUUUACAAACAUUUCUAAAAACAUGUUUUCACUUCAUCAUUAUGGGAUAUUGUGUGUAGAUGGGUGAGAAUAAAAUCUAUUGAAGCCAUUUUGAAUUCAGGCUGUAACACAACAAAAUGUGGAAGGGUAUAUAUGAAUACUUUCUGAAGAUACUGUACAUCCGACAGAAAACACCUUCCCACACACACAAGUCGACCCUGGGUGUUCUGCUGAGGUGUUGACGGGGGAUUGGCUUCCGAGGAACAGAGGCUGCAACCAAUUAGCAUACAGAGUAGUGACAUGUGAUGUAGCCUCAAAUGACCCCUGGUUAACAGAGAGGAUAGCAUGAACACACCACACUUUCUCUAUUCUCUCUCUCUCUUCAUCUCUCUUUCCUUUUCUCUCUCUUCCUCCUCUCUUUCUCUCGCUUCCUCCUCAAGUUCAGGCAGUCUAGAGGCCUUGUGAUCCGACUGAGCCCCGGCUUUGUGGGAUACUCUAGGACGCCAGCAUUAAGAUAAUGAGACAGUCACGGUGGGUCUAGUUCUCCAGGAAGUCAACCGGAGUAGUGAGAAUCUUUAAACUACUCUCAAGUCUAAUUCAGAGAGAGAGCGAGAGAGAGAGAGAGAGAGAGAGAGAGAGAGAGAGAAAGAGAGAGAGAGAUAACCCUGUGGUGGGCGUAAGUAAGAGGAUGGAUGGUUAAAUUGGCUGAAGAGAAUGAAAUGGAUUAAUUUCUGGUUUGAUUUAAAUGCGUAGUAAUUAGAGGUGGGAACAGAGUAGUAUUAGCAGCAGAGGUGAGAGAGAGAAGUGAGGUGAAUGCUCGACAUUUCCCAUUAGAAACUGCAUCUAGGCCGGUCAUAUGUGUUAAAUAGCCAUCUGAUUGGCUGACUGACUACGGUUGUAUAGGUCUGUUAUACUGUACAGAGCAUUAUGUAGUCAUGAGCUUAGAGAAUCAACUCCCCUGUAAACCAGAUGACCAUCUCAGUGGGACCUGCCAGGUUAAAUAAAGGAUAGAUCAAAUAAAUAAAGGUCGGGACUUUCCUCUCAUGCAGGCUGCAGUUUACAACGGUGUGGAGUGGGAAACGGGAUGGGACGGCUGGGUGAGAUUUACACUAGUAGAUUCACAAGGAGCUGGAGUGAAGUGGUGCUUUUCUCUGCUCUCCUGUCCUCCCUUUUUCUAUGCAGCUGCCUGGUAUGUGGGUCACACCAUGAUUUUGUGUGUGUGUUUUCACCCGCCUGUGUGUGUGUGUGUACCUCGGCGUGCACCUGUGUGUGUGUGUGUGUGUGUGUGUGUGUGUGUGUGUGUGUGUGUGUGUGUGUGUGUGUGUGUUCCUAUAUGUGAAUGCACCUCUCGCCAGACAGAGGGAGAUAUUUAAGUGUGACACGCUCCAUGGCCUGUUUGCCUUGCUCCCAGCCAUCAAGAGAAGUGUACACAUCCCUCACCCAGGCCAGGAAGGAUGUUUUUGAUGAAGUGGAGGGCUGAAUUUAGGCCCAGGCAUUCUCAGUAUCUGUCACCCAACUCCAAUAGAUCACCUUGCAGUGUGUUGCCCUGAGGAAGUGUGCGUCCAUGUUUACUCCCUCCCUCCCAGCUUCAGGUUGCUUUGAGCUGAGCCCAGUAAAUGUACACAGUGCCGUCAGAAAGUAUUCAUACCCCCUGACUUAAUCCACAUUAUUUAUAGCCGGAAUUCAAAAUUGAUUAAAUAGAUUUUCUUUUCACCCGUCUACACACAAUACCCGAAAUACUUCCAAAGUGAAAACAUGUCUUUAGACAUUUUAGAAAAUGUAUUGAAAAUUAAAUGCUUGUUAGAAUCACCUUUUUGCAACAACUACAGCUGUGAGUCUUUCUGGGUAAGUCUCUAAGAGCUUUGCACACCUGAAUUGUACAAUAUUUGCACAUUAUUCUUUUUUAAAUUCUUCAACCGCUGUCAAGUUGGUUGUUGAUCAUUUAUAGACAGCCAUUUUCAUGUCUUGGCAUAGAUUUACAGCCUUAUUGCAAACAGGAUGCAUGUUUUGGAAUAUUUGUAUUCUGUACAGGCUUUCUUCUUUCAUUCAGGUUAGUAUUGCGGAGUAACUACAAUGUUGUUGAUCAAUCCUCAGUUUUCUCCUAUCACAGCCAUUACUCUGUAACUGUUUUAAAGUCACCAUUGGCCUCAUGGUGAAAUCCCUGAGUGGUUUCCUUCCUCUCCAGUAACUGAGUUAGGAAGGACGCCUGUAUGUUUGUAGUGACUGGGUGUAUUGAUACACCAUCCAAAGUGUAAUUAAAAACUUCACCAUGCUCAAAGGCAUAUUCAAUGUCUGCUUUUUAAAGAUGUAUUUUUCAUCUACCAAUAGGUGCCCUUCUUUGGGAGACAUUGGAAAACCUCCCUGGUCUCUGUGGUUGAAUCUGGGUUUGAAAGUCACUGCUCGACUGAGGGACCUUACAGAUAAUUGUAUGUGUGGGGUACAGAGAUAGUCAAGUCAAAAAGCAUGUCAAACACUAUUAUUGCACAGUGAGUCCAUUCAACAUUAGUUGCUAAGCAUAUUUUUUACUCCUGAACUUAUCUAGGCUUGCCAUAAAAGGGCUUUUCAUUUUUUAUUAAUUUGUAAAAUUUAGAAAAACUAUUCCACUUUGACAUUAUGGGGUAUUGUGUAUAGGCCAGUGACACAAAAUCUCAAUUGAAUCCAUUAUAAAUUCAGGCUGUAACACAAGAAAAUGUGGAAAAAAUAAAGGUGUGUCAAUACUUUGAAGGCAAGGUACACAGUGACACUUGCUUUCCCUUCCUAAAGUGUCACUACAUUUACUUCCCUACUAAAUUGGAGUACAUCACUUUAAGUUCCAGUGUGUAUUGAGACGUUUGGAUGGACCUUAAAGUCCUCCGGUUGUGGUGCUCAUGUACUGUAUCCUCGGUCGACUACAAAGUAUUUUGAAUAUGGUAGGGAAACUCACUGCGCUGUAUGUAUUUUUGAACAAUGCCAUAACAAUGUCAUCUGCCUUGUUUAGAGUGGUUUACCAGAUGGCUUCCAUGGAGUUUCUCAACCUCCACCAAAUAGGGAAUUGCCAUUGACAGCAAGUAAACAACCAGAACACCAACUGCCGCCAAUGUAAACAUCUUAAGGUAGCAGACGUCUCUGCUACAUUCAAAACCACGGGUGCAGUUGUCAGGUAAAAACAACAUCCUCCUUACACUACCUCUCAAACGCUUUCCCAACCCAGACUCAACUCUUACAAUCUCUACCCCAAAUGUUGAAUUAACGUUGAAUGAAUGUAUUCACUGUAUACAUAUUAUCCGUAUAGGCUCGGUAAAAGGUCAUAAAGCAUCCAGUGACGGGUGGAAAUGAAGACCACACAGCUUGAAGAGAUCAGGUUGAAGAGGGAGGACAUAUUUAACUUGUGGGUCAUAGGUCAAACUCUCUCCCUUUCCAUCUCCCCCGCUCUCUUUCACUAUCUAUCACGGCACAAGGCGAGACCCAGAUGCAGACACAGGAGGCAGAUGGUUGGAGUCUUACAGUGUUUAAUAACCCAAAGGGGUAGGCAAGAGAAUGGUCGUGGACAGGCAAAAAAGUCAAAAACAGAUUAGCGUCCAGGAGGUACAGAGUGGCAGACAGGCUCGUGGUCAAGGCAGGCAGAAUGGUCAGGCAGGCAGGUACAGAGUCCAGAAACAGGCAAGGGUCAAAACCAGGAGGACUAGAAAAAGGAGAAUAGCAAAAAGGAGUAUGGGAAAAACACGCUGGUUGACUUGACUAAACAUACAAGACAAACUGGCACAGAGUGACAGGAAACACAGGGAUAAAUACACUGGGGGAAAGAAGCGACCUCUGGAGGGAGUGGAGACAAUCACAGGAACAGGUGAAACAGAUCAGGGCGUGACAUUCUCACCUUUCUCCUUCCCUCUUUCUGUCCCUCGACCCCUCUCUUUCUAUCACCCCACCUCUCUCUUUCUUUACCUACAUGUAUACUCCACUCUUUUCCUCUUCUGACCCCCUCUCUCUCCUUCAUUCUCACCCUUUCUCUCUCUCAGCCUGGCUGUUAUUUCUCCGUAUGUUUUGACUAUGUGCUACCUAAGCUGGUCUAUGCUGUGGGCCUGUGGCAGGUCUCUGGCAGACAGCAGUGUCAAGUUGGAGGGAGGGUUGGUGGGCUGUGUGUGACAUGGAGAAGGGCCCACCGGCACCGCAGCAGCUCCGCUGAGGCCAGGUCUUCAGCUGUCCCACCCUGCCUCUGCUUACAGUCACUAUCAAUCCAGCUGAUCCAGAAGCAGCCCGACCUUGACCUGACAGAUCAACACUGCUCUCUGUCUCUCUUUUAUUGGAUGGAAUGCUCCUUGGUCCACAAGAGAGGAUGGAUGGAGAGAAGAUGGAUGGAGACUAAAGAUGGAUGAAUAGAGGAUAGACUAGAGAUGGAUGGAGAGAGGAUGGAUGGAGAGAGGAUGAAUAGAGGAUAGACUAGAGAUGGAUGGAGAGAGGAUGGAUGGAGAGAGGAUGGAUAGAGACUAGAGAUUGAUGGAGAGAGGAUGGAUAGAGGAUAGAGACUAGAUAUGGAUGGAGAGAGGAUGGAUAGAGGAUAGAGACUAGAUAUGGAUGGAGAGAGGAUGGAUAGAGGAUAGAGACUAGAUAUGGAUGGAGAGAGGAUAGAGACUAGAUAUGGAUGGAGAGAGGAUGGAUAGAGGAUAGAGACUAGAUAUGGAUGGAGAGAGGAUGGAUAGAGGAUAGAGACUAGAUAAGGAUGGAGAGAGGAUGGAUAGAGGAUAGAGACUAGAUAUGGAUGGAGAGAGGAUGGAUAGAGGAUAUAGACUAGAUAUGGAUGGAGAGAGGAUGGAUAGAGGAUAGAGACUAGAUAUGGAUGGAGAGAGGAUGGAUUGAGAGAGGCGUGGGUGUGGAUGAAUGGUAAGUGGAGGACCUGCAGUACUAAAAGCCGGCGACCCAGACAAUACACACCUACUCACAGGGACCUAACACCACUCACAGGACUGCUCCUUGGAUCACUGCUACCACAUGCUAAAACACUUAGAUACCACACACACAAACAGCAAAAUGUGAAGUUCCAAGCACAUUCAAAAUACAUUCCUGAGACACACACUACCAGUCAGUCAGAGACAUAAACACACGUUAUUGUGUGUGUUGUUGCCAUGCGAUGGUGAUGAGCAGCACAUGACAUGAAUGGGGCGUGGAGCCCAACCUCUUAUCAGACAAAGGAGAUACACAAAAAGGAGGGGAGGGAAGGGAAGGGAGGAGGAGGGGGGGGACGUGCCGCCCCAGACUGCAGUCAUGAGGUCUCCAUCCCGUUCGGCACGCCGAGUCCCGUGGGUAAAAGGCCAUAAAGAAAACUUUGCGCCAGAGCUAAAAUCCCCCUCACACAGUCAAGAGUCACAACACACACACACAGGAACGGGACUGCGUAAAUCAAUGCCAUUCACCACUGGAGGACAGUGAGUUGAGGAAGUCCAGACAAGCUAUUUCACACACACGCUGUUCAUGCGACCCCAUAAAUUCACUUUUUUUAUUUUUUUUUCUGUAUGUCUUGACCGAAAAGUUGCGUUUGUCAAUAAAAUGGU
rnacentral:lncRNA from 1 species